rnacentral:rRNA from 1 species
CACGUAGGGGGCGAGCGUUGUCCGGAUUUAUUGGGCGUAAAGAGCUCGUAGGUGGCUCGGUAAGUCGGGUGUGAAAUUUCGAGGCUCAACCUCGAAACGCCACCCGAUACUGCUGUGGCUAGAGUCCGGUAGGGGAGCGUGGAAUUCCUGGUGUAGCGGUGAAAUGCGCAGAUAUCAGGAGGAACACCAGCGGCGAAGGCGGCGCUCUGGGCCGGUACUGACACUGAGGAGCGAAAGCGUGGGGAUCAAA